UCUUAUUAUGCUAUGUCAUUGUAGUUUUUUCAUCUCUCUGUCUUCUAAAAAAACAUUUAUAAAAUCUAGCAACAAAAUUGAAAGUACAAAACUUAGUCCCAAUUCUUCUUCUUAAUAAUAUCUUUUUUGGGUUUCUAUUUUGACAAAUGUACGUUCAAGUAAAAAUAAAAUAGAAUAUUUUUUAAAAUUGAUGGUUCCUAUUUUGACAAAGGUUUAUUCAAGUGAAAAGAAAAUAAGAUAUUUUUUUAAAAUUAAUGGUUCAUUUUGAAAC
rnacentral:lncRNA from 1 species